GUUUGCCUGUGUGUGGAUGGUGUUCAGCACCAAUGGACAGGUGUGUUUGCCUGUGUGUGGAUGGUGUUCAGCACCAAGGGACAGGUGUGUUUGCCU
rnacentral:pre_miRNA from 1 species